rnacentral:rRNA from 1 species
GCUGGCGGCAUGCUUUACACAUGCAAGUCGAGCGGCAGCGCGGGGGCAACCCUGGCGGCGAGCGGCGAACGGGUGAGGAAUACAUCGGAACGUGUCCCGUAGUGGGGGAUAGCUCGGCGAAAGCCGGAUUAAUACCGCAUAUGCUCUACGGAGGAAAGCCGGGGAUCCUGCGAAGGACCUGGCGCUAUGGGAGCGGCCGAUGUCCGAUUAGCUAGUUGGUGAGGUAAUGGCUCACCAAGGCGACGAUCGGUAGCUGGUCUGAGAGGAUGAUCAGCCACACUGGGACUGAGACACGGCCCAGACUCCUACGGGAGGCAGCAGUGGGGAAUUUUGGACAAUGGGGGCAACCCUGAUCCAGCCAUGCCGCGUGCGGGAAGAAGGCCUUCGGGUUGUAAACCGCUUUUAGUCGGGAAGAAAAGGGCGAGGCUAAUACCUUCGUCACUUGACGGUACCGGCGGAAUAAGCACCGGCUAACUACGUGCCAGCAGCCGCGGUAAUACGUAGGGUGCGAGCGUUAAUCGGAAUUACUGGGCGUAAAGCGUGCGUAGGCGGUUCGUUAAGUUCGUUGUGAAAGCCCCGGGCUCAACCUGGGAACUGCAAUGGAAACUGGCGGGCUUGAGUGUGGCAGAGGGGGGUGGAAUUCCGCGUGUAGCAGUGAAAUGCGUAGAGAUGCGGAGGAACACCGAUGGCGAAGGCAGCCCCCUGGGCCAACACUGACGCUCAGGCACGAAAGCGUGGGGGAGCAAACAGGAUUAGAUACCCUGGUAGUCCACGCCCUAAACGAUGCUCACUAGGUGUUGGGGAAGCGAUUCCUUGGUACCCGUAGCUAACGCGUGA